rnacentral:rRNA from 1 species
UGGGGAAUUUUGGACAAUGGGCGCAAGCCUGAUCCAGCAAUGCCGCGUGCAGGAUGAAGGCCUUCGGGUUGUAAACUGCUUUUGUACGGAGCGAAAAGGUCUGCCCUAAUACGGUGGGCUCAUGACGGUACCGUAAGAAUAAGCACCGGCUAACUACGUGCCAGCAGCCGCGGUAAUACGUAGGGUGCGAGCGUUAAUCGGAAUUACUGGGCGUAAAGCGUGCGCAGGCGGUUAUAUAAGACAGGUGUGAAAUCCCCGGGCUCAACCUGGGGCCUGCAUUUGUGACUGUAGAGCUAGAGUACGGUAGAGGGGGAUGGAAUUCCGCGUGUAGCAGUGAAAUGCGUAGAUAUGCGGAGGAACACCGAUGGCGAAGGCAAUCCCCUGGACCUGUACUGACGCUCAUGCACGAAAGCGUGGGGAGCAAACA